rnacentral:rRNA from 1 species
UACAGAGGAGCCAAGCGUUGUCCGGAUUGACUGGGCGUAAAGCGCACGCAGGCGGUCUGGCGCGUGGGGUGUGAAAUCUGGCCGCUUAACGGCCAGGCGCCAUCCCAUACGGCCGGACUGGAGCCUUGCAGAGGUCGGUGGAAUUGCCGGUGUAGUGGUGAAAUGCGUAGAUAUCGGGAGGAACACCAGUGGCGAAGGCGACUUCCUGGCCUGUUCUUGACGCUGAGGCGCGAAAGUGUGGGGAGCGAACAGG